GCCCGGGGGGCUCAGUCGGUUGAGCGUCCGACUUCGGCUCAGGUCAUGAUCUCACGGUUUGUGGGUUCGAGCCCCGCGUCGGGCU
rnacentral:tRNA from 1 species